rnacentral:rRNA from 1 species
AUACGUAGGGGGCGAGCGUUGUCCGGAAUGAUUGGGCGUAAAGGGCGCGUAGGCGGCCUGUUAAGUCUGGAGUGAAAGUCCUGUUUUCAAGAUGGGAAUUGCUUUGGAUACUGAUGGGCUUGAGUGCAGGAGAGGUUAUCGGAAUUCCCGGUGUAGCGGUGAAAUGCGUAGAGAUCGGGAGGAACACCAGUGGCGAAGGCGGGUAGCUGGGCUGCAACUGACGGUGAGGGUCGAAAGCGUGGGGAGCAAACAGGAUUAGAUACCCGGGUAGUCCACGCUGUAAACGAUGGUUACUAGGUGUUGGGGGCCAAAGGUCUUCGGUGCCGCCGCAAACGCAUUAAGUAAUCCACCUGGGGAGUACGUUCGCAAGAAUGAAACUCAAAAGAAUUGACGGGG